rnacentral:rRNA from 1 species
ACAAGCAGCGGAGCGUGUGGUUUAAUUCGUUGCUACACGAAGAACCUUACCUGGGUUUGACAUAUAGGUUGUAGGGAACUGAAAAGGGACGACCCUUCGGGGAGCCUAUACAGGUGUUGCAUGGCUGUCGUCAGCUCGUGUCGUGAGAUGUUCGGUUAAGUCCGCUAACGAGCGCAACCCUCGUCGUAUGUUAUAUGUGUCAUACGAGACUGCCGGUAAAAAGCCGGAGGAAGGUGAGGAUGAUGUCAAGUCAGCAUGACCUUUAUAUCCAGGGCUACACACACGCUACAAUGGUCUGUACAAAGAGUUGCGAUACCGCGAGGUGGAGCUAAUCCCAUAAAGCCGGUCUCAGUUCGGAUUGGAGUCUGCAACUCGACUGCAUGAAGCCGGAGUUGCUAGUAACCGCAGGUCAGCAAUACUGCGGUGAAUACGUUCCCGGGCCUU